rnacentral:rRNA from 1 species
AUUGAACGCUGGCGGCAGGCUUAACACAUGCAAGUCGAGCGGGGUGAUGGUGCUUGCACUAUCACUUAGCGGCGGACGGGUGAGUAAUGCUUAGGAAUCUGCCUAUUAGUGGGGGACAACAUCUCGAAAGGGAUGCUAAUACCGCAUACGUCCUACGGGAGAAAGCAGGGGAUCACUUGUGACCUUGCGCUAAUAGAUGAGCCUAAGUCGGAGUAGCUAGUGGGUGGGGUAAAGGCCUACCAAGGCGACGAUCUGUAGCGGGUCUGAGAGGAUGUACCGCCACACUGGGACUGGGACACGGCCCAGACUCCUACGGGAGGGAGCAGUGGGGAAUAUUGGACAAUGGGGGGAACCCUGAUCCAGCCAUGCCGCGUGUGUGAAGAAGGCCUUAUGGUUGUAAAGCACUUUAAGCGAGGAGGAGGCUCUUUUGGUUAAUACCCAAGAUGAGUGGACGUUACUCGCAGAAUAAGCACCGGCUAACUCUGUGCCAGCCGCCGCGGUAA